CGCGGUGUAACUGACGGAAGUGGAACAGACCACGGGGAGCAUCGCCUGUGCUUUUCUGCCGACCGUCUGGGCGCAC
rnacentral:ncRNA from 1 species